rnacentral:lncRNA from 1 species
UGAGCAAUGAAGGCUCACAAACCAUGGGCAGAGGGGAAAACCCCCAAAUUUCUUACUCAUAUAUAUCCCUCAACAAUUUCGUACAAAUCUCGGUAUAUCUUGAAGAUUCUUUGUUUUCCCUUGUGUUUCUCAGCGAAUCACCGGUGAUUUUGGGGCGACCUAGUUCUGGCAUCCUCCGCCGCGCUGAUGGAGGAGAAGCUCUGACGCGGCACUGAAUUCCGACGCAGCCAUGGCC